rnacentral:rRNA from 1 species
CAGCAGCCGCGGUAAUACGUAGGUGGCAAGCGUUGUCCGGAAUUAUUGGGCGUAAAGCGCGCGCAGGUGGUUUAAUAAGUCUGAUGUGAAAGCCCACGGCUCAACCGUGGAGGGUCAUCGGAAUCUGUUAAACUUGAGUGCAGGAGAGAAAAGUGGAAUUCCUAGUGUAGCGGUGAAAUGCGUAGAGAUUAGGAGGAACACCAGUGGCGAAGGCGGCUUUUUGGCCUGUAACUGACACUGAGGCGCGAAAGCGUGGGGAGCAAACAGGAUUAGAUACCCGGGUAGUCCCUGUCUCUUAUAC